rnacentral:rRNA from 1 species
AUACGUAGGGGGCGAGCGUUGUCCGGAAUUACUGGGCGUAAAGGGUGCGUAGGUGGCCAUGUAAGUCAGGUGUGAAAGACCGGGGCUCAACCCCGGGGCGGCACUUGAAACUGUGUGGCUUGAGUACAGGAGAGGGAAGUGGAAUUCCUAGUGUAGCGGUGAAAUGCGUAGAUAUUAGGAGGAACACCAGUGGCGAAGGCGACUUUCUGGACUGUAACUGACACUGAGGCACGAAAGCGUGGGGAGCAAACAGGAUUAGAUCCCCUGGUAGUCCACGCCGUAAACGAUGGAUACUAGGUGUGGGGGGCGAUAGUCCUCCGUGCCGAAGCUAACGCAUUAAGUAUCCCGCCUGGGGAGUACGAUCGCAAGGUUGAAACUCAAAUGAAUUGACGGG